AGAACGAACGCUGGCGGCAUGCCUAACACAUGCAAGUCGAACGCUCUUGAGGCUUCGGUUUCAAGGGAGUGGCGCACGGGUGAGUAGCGCGUGGGAACCUGCCCUGUUGUGGGGGAUAACCGAGGGAAACUUCGGCUAAUACCGCAUGCGCCCGGGGAAACCCGGGGAAAGAUUUAUCGCAGCAGGAGGGGCCCGCGUCGGAUUAGGUAGUUGGUAGGGUAACGGCCUACCAAGCCUUUGAUCCGUAGCUGGUCUGAGAGGAUGAUCAGCCACACUGGGACUGAGACACGGCCCAGACUCCUACGGGAGGCAGCAGUGGGGAAUAUUGGACAAUGGGCGCAAGCCUGAUCCAGCAAUGCCGCGUGAGUGAUGAAGGCCUUCGGGUUGUAAAGCUCUUUCGCACGCGAGGAUGAUGACGCUAGCGUGAGAAGAAGCCCGGCUAACUUCGUGCCAGCAGCCGC
rnacentral:rRNA from 1 species